AUCCAGCUGACGAGUCCAAAAUAAGACGAAAUAAUGCGCCUCUUGGAU
rnacentral:hammerhead_ribozyme from 1 species